CCGGGCGGGGUCACCUGCGCACCCCGCGGAGCCUCAGGUGGCCGCCAGCGUCGCUCCUGGGGGUGUGGAGAAGUAUGGCUCGGGUGGAUGCUCUCUCCAGGAAACAGCAACUCACUUGAGGUGUGUGCUGGGCACAGAUUUAAGCAGUGAAGACUUUAUGAAGAAACUGGACACAAACAGCAGAACAGGAGCCUGCCAGAGUAGUCCAGGACUGAAGUCUACUAAAGCUCUGCUUUGACACUUUGUAAUAAGGCAGUCUGGCCAAGUAGACCCAGUUUGGCAGAAGCAAGUGCUGUAAUACUCAGUUCUCAGGGGGUAUCCAUGUCAGCAGCCUCGGGAUUCCAAGGCAUGGAAAGUCAGCUGGAAGUUCAGAGUGCCAGGAGGGAAGUCCAAACUUUGCAGAAAGAAGAAGGUUCUGCUGUUUCACUGAUCUAAAAAGUCCUGUGCAUCCCUCAGUGGCUUCACCUUGCACUCAGGUUUUAGAAACGUUUGUUGUCCUAAAUGAGCACCUUGUGUCAGAAAUUUCCACAGACACAUCACUCUGAGGAAACAGUUGGGUGAGGAGCUCAGGUGAAAUCUGCUGCAAGGAUCCUACAGUCUUCAGCAGGCUUACAAGUGUAGAGGCUUGCAGGGUUGAUGCUUUAUCAUCUGUAGAGCACAUGAGAUUCAACAUGAACCCUGCUGCAGGUGACCCUGCUUGAGCAGGGGGUUCUUCCAACCUCAACCAUUCUCCAGUUCUGUGUUCCCUUGCUGCAUUGAGCUUUCUUUUCUUGGCUUUUCUAAAUAUAAUAAUUCUGUGUAGAGA